UACGUAGGGGGCAAGCGUUGUCCGGAAUUACUGGGCGUAAAGCGCGUGUAGGUGGCGAGGCAAGUCGGGUGUGAAAGCCCUGGGCUCAACCCAGGAAGUGCACUCGAUACUGCCUAGCUAGAGUCCCGGAGAGGUUGGUGGAACUCUCGGUGUAGAGGUGAAAUUCGUAGAUAUCGAGAAGAACACCGGUGGCGAAGGCAGCCAACUGGACGGUGACUGACACUGAGACGCGAAAGCGUGGGGAGCAAACAGG
rnacentral:rRNA from 1 species